rfam:Aspergillus calidoustus genome assembly, contig: SCAF7
UGGUAUGAUGAUUCUUCGACACGCUAUAGGCAUUCCUCAAACUUAAUUUACCAUGUGGAAUCUGUCUUGUUUUAAGUUUCAGCCUUGUCUGACC